rnacentral:rRNA from 1 species
AUGCAAGUCGAGCGGGCGCUUUCGGGCGUCAGCGGCGGACGGGUUAGUAACGCGUGGGAACGUGCCCUUUGCUCUGGAAUAGCCCUGGGAAACUGGGGGUAAUACCGGAUGUGCCCUGAGGGGGAAAGAUUUAUCGGCAAGGGAUCGGCCCGCGUCUGAUUAGGUAGUUGGUGAGGUAACGGCUCACCAAGCCGACGAUCGGUAGCUGGUUUGAGAGGAUGAUCAGCAACACUGGGACUGAGACACGGCCCAGACUCCUACGGGAGGCAGCAGUGGGGAAUCUUAGACAAUGGGCGCAAGCCUGAUCUAGCCAUGCCGCGUGGGUGAUGAAGGCCUUAGGGUCGUAAAGCCCUUUCGCCGGGGAAGAUAAUGACGGUACCCGGUAAAGAAACCCCGGCUAACUCCGUGCCAGCAGCCGCGGUAAUACGGAGGGGGUUAGCGUUGUUCGGAAUGACUGGGCGUAAAGCGCGCGUAGGCGGAUCAUCAAGUCGGGGGUGAAAUCCCGGGGCUCAACCCCGGAAUGGCCUUCGAGACUGGUGGUCUUGAGUUCGAGAGAGGUGAGUGGAAUUCCGAGUGUAGAGGUGAAAUUCGUAGAUAUUCGGAGGAACACCAGUGGCGAAGGCGGCUCACUGGCUCGAUACUGACGCUGA